AAUGUACUCCCUCCAUCUGGAAAUACUUGUCAGAAAAAUGGAUGUAUCUAGAACUAAAAUACGUCUAGAUACAUCCAUUUCUCCGACAAGUAUUUCCGGAUGGAGGGAGUAUUUU
rnacentral:pre_miRNA from 1 species